UUUCACGCGCACUCUUUCGCGUUCCCUUUGUUCCCUAGAUCGUGUAGAUGUAAACAAACCAGGAGGCACGAAACUGUUAUUUUGUCAAUUAAACCAAUUGUUUAAACAAAUGAAGACAUUGCUAUUUGUAUGAGCACAGCUGAGAGAUUUUUGACCAGAGAGAAUAUUACACUGACACAUGCAGAGUUGAUACCGACAAAAUAUCUUAAAUAAACACUUCAAAUUCUGACAUACUGAAAAUGUAUAAAAUAUAUAUUUAAGUUGGGAUAUCAUAAUGUAUGUUACAAUGAGUUUAUAAUAAAUACAUUUUCUUUAUUUGA